rnacentral:rRNA from 1 species
GAUCCUGGCUCAGGAUGAACGCUGGCGGCGUGCUUAACACAUGCAAGUCGAACGGACUUUACAUGAAGCCUAGCGAUUGUAAAGUUAGUGGCGGACGGGUGAGUAACGCGUGAAUAACCUGCCCUGUACCGGGGGACAACAGUUGGAAACGGCUGCUAAUACCGCAUAAGCGCACAGUACCGCAUGGCUCAGUGGGAAAAACUCCGGUGGUAUGAGAUGGACCCGCGUCUGAUUAGGUAGUUGGUGGGG